rnacentral:rRNA from 1 species
AGAGUUUGAUCCUGGCUCAGAACGAACGCUGGCGGCGUGCCUAAUACAUGCAAGUCGAACGAGAAAGUGGCUUCGGUCAUGAGUAAAGUGGCAGACGGGUGAGUAAUACAUAGGUAACCUACCUUCAAGAUGGGGACAACCUUCCGAAAGGAGGGCUAAUACCGAAUGAGACCACGGCUACUUCGGUAGCUGAGGUUAAAGGUGGCCUCUACUUGUAAGCUAUCGCUUGAAGAUGGGCUUAUGCACCAUUAGCUAGUUGGCGAGGUAACGGCUCACCAAGGCUGUGAUGGUUAGCUGAUCUAAGAGGUUGAUCAGCCCCACUGGAACUGAGACACGGUCCAGACUCCUACGGGAGGCAGCAGUAGGGAAUAUUGCGCAAUGGAGGAAACUCUGACGCAGCGACGCCGCGUGGGUGAUGAAGGCUUUCGGGUCG